rnacentral:lncRNA from 1 species
CUAGCAGUUUUCCUUACAACCCAUAUUCUCCUGUCAAUCUCAAUCUUGUUAGUAAGCACAAACAAGCGCCACUGUUACAUUACAUUACCUAGAUGGACAAGUACAUGACUGCUCCAGUCCUAUUCUCUCUACUUCUCGUAUGCCUUGCUACUACUACACAAUGUAAGCGUUUACACAAUUGUACUUCCGGUAAUCUGUCGAUGUGCAUGCACAGGUUCAUUAUACUCGCGUAAUAAUUUAGGUUCCUAUUUAGUUUGGAAGUAGGUAUUUUGUUAGUGCAUGAUGACUGGUUUGUUUUCUGUUCUUGUGCCAUCUGAUGCUUAUUUGUUAAUCAAUGCGAAAUCAUACUAAUGUGAAUCAUUUGUUUGUACAUUUUUCCAUAGGUCAAAUCACCGAUGACAUGGAUAAUGAUCUGAUCAAUUUACCAGGCGGGUUGUGUGUCAAUAGAAAUGGCAUCUAUUGUUGCCUUGUGUCGAAUAUGUGCUAUUCCCCACUAGAAUUAUGUGUUCAGGCAUGCAAAAGUGCACUCCUAUCAAAUUGAACUUUUGUUCGAAGAAGUAAUGUGUGAUGCAGAAGUCAUAUUUGAAAUAAAUAGUAGUAUCUACUAUCUCCAUUGUAGUUUGAUUGGUUGAUCAUGUUGCAAGUAAACUCUCAGCAGGACUAGGUUCUUCGGGUGGAAAAAAAUGCGGAACCUCCCUUUGCUCUUAAAUAAGGGAAGUUUUGUUUUCUAAGAGCAACUCCAAUAGCUCCACUAUCCACAAAAAACUACCAUUUAAGGGGAGUUGAAAAAAAAAAACCUUCAAUGGUUUCUGUAAACCUGAUUUCUUACAACAUCGUCUAUACUUCCUC